rnacentral:rRNA from 1 species
AUACGUAGGGGGCGAGCGUUGUCCGGAAUGAUUGGGCGUAAAGGGCGCGUAGGCGGCCCGGUAAGUCUGGAGUGAAAGUCCUGUUUUUAAGAUGGGAAUUGCUUUGGAUACUGUCGGGCUUGAGUGCAGGAGAGGUAAGUGGAAUUCCUAGUGGAGCGGUAAAAUGCGCAGAUAUUAGGAAGAACACCGGUGGCGAAGGCGGCUAUCUGGACAGUAACUGACGCUGAGGCGCGAAAGCGUGGGGAGCAAACAGGAUUAGAUACCCGGGUAGUCCACGCCGUAAACGAUGAAUACUAGGUGUAGGGGGUAUCGACUCCCUCUGUGCCGCAGGUAACACAAUAAGCAUUCCGCCUGGGGUGUACGGCCGCAAGGUGGAAACUCAAAUGAAUUGGCGGGG